GCCGGCGGCAUGCCUUACACAUGCAAGUCGGACGGCAGCGCGGGAGCAAUCCUGGCGGCGAGUGGCGAACGGGUGAGUAAUACAUCGGAACAUGUCCAGUAGUGGGGGAUAGCCCGGCGAAAGCCGGAUUAAUACCGCAUACGAUCUAUGGAUGAAAGCGGGGGAUCGCAAGACCUCGCGCUAUUGGGGUGGCCGAUGGCGGAUUAGCUAGUUGGUGGGGUAAAGGCCUACCAAGGCGACGAUCCGUAGCUGGUCUGAGAGGACGACCAGCCACACUGGGACUGAGACACGGCCCAGACUCCUACGGGAGGCAGCAGUGGGGAAUUUUGGACAAUGGGGGCAACCCUGAUCCAGCAAUGCCGCGUGUGUGAAGAAGGCCUUCGGGUUGUAAAGCACUUUUGUCCGGGAAGAAAUCCCCUGCCCGUAUU
rnacentral:rRNA from 1 species